rnacentral:lncRNA from 1 species
GAAAAGGCCGACCAAAGGACGCCGACCAGGAAGACGCUCGCCCAAAGGGCGCCGACCAGAAGUACUAGAAGUGACCCCGCCACAGGGCGCCCCAUUGGGCGACCAGCUCGGCUCGGCACCCCUGCCGAGCCGAUGCCUUGACCAAAUGUUCAAAUCCCGCCUAACUCUCUAAGGGACCUGACAACUCCGCUACAACCUGCCGCUAUCUCCAAGCCAUCAAGGCAUAAGAUCUCCGCAGGUAUUCGGCACGACCUGCCAUUAAUGCAUGAGACCCCCUCAAGUCUCCGAUGCACUCAGUCAUUUAAUGAACACGGCCCAAGACGAUCUCCGGAUCACUGAACCAUCAAAGCAUAUGGCUCUCCCUGACCGCCGGUUCACUCAGUAAUAAAUGCACUUACCAUCCACGAACCCCAGGCCCACUACGGCCGACGGUUCAACCACUCCAACGGGUCCGAUCGACCGUGACAACUCCCUGGUUCCGGUCUGAUUCGGCCUCAUUCUCCACUACGCCAUUAAUGGGCCAAAUCGUGCCCAAUUAUUACAAAAGAGGACAAAUUCCCCUGUCACCUCCCAGGUAACACAAUAUCCCUCUAUAAAAGGGGACCUGGAGGAAAGAAUGGGGGGAUCCCGGACUCGAACCGGAACAGAAGUAAACAGCACAGACACAAUUGCGCAAAAUAUUCUCUUUAUCUUCUCCACAUAUCUCUCUUCUUUGCUCUCUCAUUUGCUCUCUCCACAUACUUGCCCCCUCUGACUUAAGCAUCGGAGGGCCGGCGCCGGGGAGCCCGGCCACCGGCUUUUUUGCAGGGCAGGACAGGACGCACUCUUCUUCGCUCACCCUCUCCACGGAGGACGCAGCCGGCCGGCUCACCGCCGUCCGCCCCCUCAGCAGCGGAGCUCCUCCUCCCCUAGUUUCGCGGCGGCCCCCGGGUCCAAUUUCCAGCAACACAAGGCAUUCGGGCUCACACCAUCUUCUCAAGUUACAAAAUUUAAAUCAACUGGUGGAAACUAUCAUCAUGUGAAUUAAUAGUAGUUUGACGAUCAUACGACUGAAAAUAUCUAGAUUAGUAUCUUUGACAGCUGAAAAGGAAGCAAUUAAGUGGCUUUUAAUCCAUUUAGCAAAGAGAUGUAAACAAAGAGAGAGUGGC